rnacentral:lncRNA from 1 species
GGGUUUGAGAAAAAAAAUGGAGUGCGCUAACGGCUGUGAAAUGCAAGGCUGUAAGGCCCGAAACAUCAUCCAGGCUUCUUCCUGUUACUGCGGACAUGGGGAAGGGAGGAGUCGGUGGCGGCUCUGUGAACUCCUCACUUCGAAGGCGCUCUGCUCCGCGAUGAAGGAAGGUCUUUGGGGGCUGUAACGUGUUUGAAUGCUAUCGGCCGCUGUGCGAGAUUCGUGUGGGCCAGGGCAGCCGAGUGCGACUUAUUAAACGUCUUUCAUGGUUAUGUGGCACAGCUGCCGCGCCCGUUCUGGAAGUGCAGUUGGCAAUGGGUCCGCCCGCCCUUGGCCGGAUUGGGCAGACAGAACAUGGCUGCGGUGAUGGUCUCGGUGACAGCCUAUGAGGCGAGGGGCAGGCGAGUAGCUGCAGCAGCCGACUGUCGUUACUGAGUGCUGGCAGUAUUAUAAGCCCGACCAUGUAUGUUAGCUGUCGGACGGUUUUUAAAAUAUUUUUGUAAGUUUAGGGCGCAUAGCUCAAGGUCUCUAACCUGCCUCGCCGCCAAUGACCCUUAGGAUGCUUCCGGAUGCUCCCCGCCUCCAUCGCCGAGAUCCUUUGCUGCGCACUCUCACCGAGCCGUGUGAACUGCUGGCUAAUGCCGUCCAUUCCAACAACAACGACAACAUAUGGCACAACAAGGAUGGAAUGGAAAGUAGGUUGUAACGUAAAAAAUGGUCAGCUAUAGAGGUCGGCAAAUAAGGCGGGUCCGUACCACAGUACUCGCAGCCGAAAUUCGCCUUAAGCCUCCGGCUGCGCGUCCCUAAUGAUCAAAACUCGACCAAAAGACGUGAUUUGCAUUCUCUAUUGCGACCCGUAGGGCCGCGCGCUGGACUUGAACUCUGUGUUUGACUUUGUAAAAGACUGUCACGACCACUACACAAUUCGGUGACGGUUAUCAUUUUUAAAUUAUUACAUUUUUAGCGUCUGUACCGACGACUUGCAGCUGCCGCAGCACUAGAGUUGGUCAAUAUUUGACUUAGGCAUAUCAGGG